rnacentral:rRNA from 1 species
UUGAACGCUGGCGGAAUGCUUUACACAUGCAAGUCGAACGGCAGCACGGGGGCAACCCUGGUGGCGAGUGGCGAACGGGUGAGUAAUGUAUCGGAACGUGCCCAGUCGUGGGGGAUAACUAUCCGAAAGGAUAGCUAAUACCGCAUACGUCCUGAGGGAGAAAGCGGGGGACCGUAAGGCCUCGCGCGAUGAGAGCGGCCGAUAUCUGAUUAGCUAGUUGGUGGGGUAAAGGCUCACCAAGGCGACGAUCAGUAGCUGGUCUGAGAGGACGACCAGCCACACUGGGACUGAGACACGGCCCAGACUCCUACGGGAGGCAGCAGUGGGGAAUUUUGGACAAUGGGGGCAACCCUGAUCCAGCCAUUCCGCGUGAGUGAAGAAGGCCUUCGGGUUGUAAAGCUCUUUCGGUGGGAACGAAACGGUACAGGCGAAUAACCUGUGCUAAUGACGGUACCCAAAGAAGAAGCACCGGCUAACUACGU